GUAACGCGUGGGUAACCUGCCUUAUACAGGGGGAGUAACAGUCAGAAAUGGCUGCUAAUACCGCAUAAGCGCACAGAGCUGCAUGGCUCAGUGUGAAAAACUCCGGUGGUAUAAGAUGGACCCGCGUUGGAUUAGCUUGUUGGUGGGGUAACGGCCCACCAAGGCGACGAUCCAUAGCCGGCCUGAGAGGGUGAACGGCCACAUUGGGACUGAGACACGGCCCAGACUCCUACGGGAGGCAGCAUG
rnacentral:rRNA from 1 species